AGUGAACGCUGGCGGUAGGCCUAACACAUGCAAUUCGAACGGCAGCACAGUAAGAGCUUGCUCUUACUGUUGGCGAGUGGCGGACGGGUGAGGCAUACAUCGGAAUCUACUUUUUCGUGGGGGAUAACGUAGGGAAACUUACGCUAAUACCGCAUACGACCUACGGGUGAAAGCAGGGGAUCUUCGGACCUUGCGCGAUUGAAUGAGCCGAUGUCGGAUUAGCUAGUUGGCGGGGUAAAGGCCCACCAAGGCGACGAUCCGUAGCUGGUCUGAGAGGAUGAUCAGCCACACUGGAAAGGAGACCCGGUCCAGACUCCUACGGGAGGCACCAGUGGGGAAUAUUGGACAAUUGGCGGAAGCCUGAUCCAGCCAGACCGCGUGUGUGAAGAAGGCCUUCGGGGUGUAAAGCCCUUUUGUUGGGAAAGAAAAGCAGCAGGUUAAUACCCCGCUGUUCUGACGGUACCCAAAGAAUAAGCAAAGGCUAACUUCGUG
rnacentral:rRNA from 1 species